GUCAGGGAGCUGGAGCACACGACGUGAGAGGAGAGAGUUUUGUUCAGCCCAGAGAAGAGGGUGUGAAGGGGGAAUCUCAUUUUUUUUCAUCUACCUACCUAAAGCAAAACUAUAGAGAAGAAGGAGUCAGACUGUCCUCAGAGCACGAGAAGUCAGGGGCAUAAGUUUCAGCAAAGCAAGUUUAUAUCAGACAUAAGAAAAACAUUUCUUAGUAAGAGGUUGGUCAAACCUUGAACCAUGAAGCCAGAGAAAUGCUGGGAUUUGUAUCCCUGGAGAUGCUCAAAACUCAACCACACAAAAGCAUGAGCCUGACUGAGAGGUGGAAGUUGGAUCAGGAGUUUUCAAAGGCUCUUUCCACCAAAACCAUUCCCUGACCCUGUGCUCCACUUGUGCAGACAGGGAGCCAAGGCACAGAGCAGAUGAAAUAACACAACCACAGGGCCAAUUCAGCAACUCAUCUUUCUGCUAAGACUGUCAGUGAAAGCGUCAACUGCAUGGCUGGCUUCUGUGAUGUGGAACCAUGCCCACCAAGACUUGGACCAGGACUGUGCAUCCCAUUUCACAUCAGCCACCGUCCAGCCCACACUUGGCAGAAGGCUGAAGACAGUAUCAGCCAUGCCUGCAUGACUCCUGGCAUUGGGCCAUUUCUCUCCAACCCUCUGAGCAGCCACGAUGUAAAUCUUGCUCUUCUUUCACUAGUCUUUGCCGUGACACCACAAUCACUUGGCUGCCCAUGCCAGCUCUCCUUGGGCGUUUGUCAGGGAUGCGUCAGUGGAAAAAUGAACUCUGCACCCUGGCGAGGAGGGGGAGCAGCUCCUCGUGAAGCUUACCCCUGCUGCCCUUUCUCAGCUCGCACGUCCUCGUGAAAUCACUGUGAAUAUUUACCUCCACCAGGAGUAAAUCCAUAUUCCUCCCUCCCGGUGAAUAAGCAGGAAGACCUUGCCCAGAUAAAUGCAGGGUGAGAGCUUUGCUUCACCUCCAGUACCAGCACUCCCAUGCCUAAAUAUCUCCAUGAAAUAUG